GUUUUGUGAUGAUCCCCAUGCGUGUCAACUGAUCCCAGUCCCCCUUCAGUUCUCAAUGUCUGGUAAGCGUUUUGCUUGGCAGAAUGUUUGAGCCUGCAGGAGACUGGGAACAUGAUCUUGCCUUGAUUCUGAAAAC